AGGUGGAGCAAGAAAUAAAGGCGGCAAAAACGAAGGUUGGAUCUGCCGUUUUCGUCAACAAUGUGACCGGAAAAAAAGCAACAAAAUUCUGCUGGUGUAAAGGCAGCAAUUCGGAAAAAUCAACGACGACGUAGAGUCAUCGGCCGACCAGUGGGAGGAGCUGCACCAGCAAACGCCGCCUCCUUCUGGCGUCUCUCACAUUGUUAUAACCGUUACGUACAAUGCACAAACUAUAACCAAUUAAACUUAGCCUCUUCAAUUCUGUGAAAAAUAUACAAAAAAAAACCCUACCUCUUGACGCCUGCAAUCGAGGAUCGAUUGAAAAUUGAAGGAUUGUGUUGGAUAAAAUAUCAGGUAAUUACAGCUGAAAUUAAAAGAAUGAAGGCGAAUUGGGAGAUUAAGGAUUGUUGUAACAACGAUCAAGUCAUCUUUCUUGUCACCAUUGGUGUUUAUACCGUCUUCAUUUUUAUCCUAUGGAGAACAUUUAUUAUAACACCUUUCAAGCUCAUCACUGUGUUUCUUCAUGAACUAAGCCAUGCAAUUGCUUGUAAGCUCACAUGUGGUGAGGUAA